rnacentral:lncRNA from 1 species
AACUGUCUGACUGAUAUGAGGGUGUUUUUAUGUAUAGAAAGUAAGAUGUGGUUACAUAUCACAUUACAUCAUAUUAAUCGUAUGUUAUAACCUCUCUUCUCUUCUCUCUUACAGCUGUAAUCACCCAAGUCACUCAGCAGAAUCCAACAGAUCCUCCAAAAAAUGAGACAACAGCACGAACCAUAACUACAUUUACUACAUCUGUGAUUCCCACAUCCACAGGGGUUUUAAUCACUGAUUCUACAGGGACCAGGAAGAGAGAAAAAUCACCCGCAACAGGACUACUGUUAGUCACAGCAGUGUCAGUCACUGGUAUCAGUGUCUUUCUGGGUGGAGUGAUGAUUAUCGUGCUCUGCAGUUUUAUCAAGAAGCAGCAGAGCAGAAAAAGAUUUAAGGUCAACUCAAAAACUGGAGACCAAGUAUGGAUGGCAGCCAUGGUCAGUGCUCCGGAAUCCAGUGCAGAAGCUCCUGGAACAUAUUCAGUGAUUUCUCCAGCAGACACAUCUUUCCAGCCAUCAGGAAAUACAACACCCAUUAAGAAUUGUGAUAAUUUUGAUCCACAGGCUGAGACAUACUCCGAGAUCACCCCAAUAGCAGCUCCACCUGAACGCUCAGGUUCCAGCAAAGCAAAAGAAAACUCAGGAUGUUCUGAGAGUGAUGUUUAUCACAUGUACUGCACCAUCCCUGACCUGCAUGUGACCCCCAUUCAGAAUGAUGCCGUCUACAGCCUGUUGCAGAAGCACUGAUCUAAUGUCUAAUGCAUUUCACACUAUUUAAACAAAUUCUUGUUAUAUAGUUAAUUCUUUGUGAAAUUAAUAUUGAAUAUACUAAUGUUCAUGUUAUUGUGCACUUGAUUCCUUUCACUUGUUUUUAAAUGCCUGUAAUACUGGGUUUUACCAUUAGAAAAAAAAUGUGUUUAUUACUGUUGUUAGUACUGUUAUUUAUGAUCUUUAUUGUACAAUGUUACCAUCAACCCUUACAUAACUUUUGCAUGAGUUUAAUAUAAUGUAAUAUAUAAAUACAAUACUGUUAUAUUGUAUGUAUCAUCUGGAAUAAAUCAUCUUACUUUCUGUGACUAAUAGUGGUU